GACGAACGCUGGCGGCGUGCCUAACACAUGCAAGUCGAGCGAUGAAGUUCCUUCGGGAACGGAUUAGCGGCGGACGGGUGAGUAACACGUGGGCAACCUGCCUUAUAGAGGGGAAUAGCCUUCCGAAAGGAAGAUUAAUACCGCAUAAGAUUGUAGCUUCGCAUGAAGUAGCAAUUAAAGGAGUAAUCCGCUAUAAGAUGGGCCCGCGGCGCAUUAGCUAGUUGGUGAGGUAACGGCUCACCAAGGCGACGAUGCGUAGCCGACCUGAGAGGGUGAUCGGCCACAUUGGGACUGAGACACGGCCCAGACUCCUACGGGAGGCAGCAGUGGGGAAUAUUGCACAAUGGGGGAAACCCUGAUGCAGCAACGCCGCGUGAGUGAUGACGGCCUUCGGGUUGUAAAGCUCUGUCUUUGGGGACGAUAAUGACGGUACCCAAGGAGGAAGCCACGGCUAACUACGUG
rnacentral:rRNA from 1 species